rnacentral:rRNA from 1 species
UCAGGUAGGAAUUCCCGCUGAACCCAAGCAUAUCAAUAACGGGAGGAA